AGGAGAUAUUCCGCCAAGCCAGGAGUACUUUGUCUUAUGAGCAGUUCAGUGCAUUUCUUUCCAACAUCAAGGAGCUGAACUGUCAAAAUCAAACUCGAGAGGAAACGUUAAGGAAGGCAGAAUAAUUAUUUGGUACAGACAUGAGACAACAAAGAUCAUUACUUAUCACUCCAAGGGCUGCUUAUUCGUAACAACCUUUAGGACUUAAAGGCGUAUUCCAAAGAUGGUGCAUCAUAAUAGAAUUGCGCAAAAGAAUCCAAAGAAACCAAACUGGCACCUUCUAAUAAUUGAAAAGGUUGGAAAUUUGGGAUACGAAGAGAUUGAAUGGGAGUAAAAGAGAAGUUGUUGCUAGUCACU